GAGGAGGGACCUAAGAGAUAGAGAGCAUAAAAUUUAUGAAAUAGCUGUGAAUCUUGAUAAAAAUCUCACUGUUCAUUGAGUGUUUUUCUUGGUGAGUUCUUAGAUUUCUAAAUCCUGAAAUGAAUGCGAGUUUAUUUGAGAGUUGAAAAAAUAUACAAAAACAGACGGUUGAAAAUUCUUUAGGAAAACACUUUUUCAUUGAUUUCUUUGAUGAUUUAUGAAGUUUUCUAGUGCUAAACUGAUUUUUGGUUAGCUGGUAUCAAAAUGGUUUAAGGUUGAGUCUUGAUUGAGGGUUGCUGGUCCAUUGAGUGACUAAAAAUGGUGUUUGGAUCAUUGUAUCUCAUCUACUGGGUUUAAAUUGAUCUGCUGGAUCAUUUUAUGAUUGCUGGAUCUUACUGCUGUUAUUAAUCCCUGCUGUUACUCUGUUGAUACCUAACUAUUUCUUUUCCUGUUUCAAUCUCCAGGUACAUACUCUUGAUUAUUAAAGCUUGUAAGCCAUGGUUCAUGGAGUGUGUUUUUUGUUUUAAAGAAAAGUGAAGAUGGUGUUGUCAGAUGUUAUUGUUUUUGUUUUUUCUCUCUUUCAGUGUGUCUUGGGUCGAUGUAAAUACUGUAGUAGGACUACUAUGUAGUGUGUGUUGAUUUGCUUUUGUUAAUUCCUGGAGUCUGUUGUUAUUAGAAAUGGCCGUCAACUCUAAGAUCCAUGAACAUUGUUUUAAAAUUCAGACUUGUUAGAAUGUUAUGCCAAUGUUAUCAUAGUUAAAAUCAAGCAUGUGUUAAGAGUUUUAUAUAGUUUCGUUUUCUUCUGUUGAUAUAACUUAUGUCUGAGAAUGGCUAAGGGUGAAAAGAUGUAUCUGAUUUGAAGAUUGUCAAUGAUUUUAGGUUGACUUGGGAUGAUUGUAAGAUCAAGC
rnacentral:lncRNA from 1 species